UACGGGGGGGGCAAGCGUUGUUCGGAAUUACUGGGCGUAAAGCGCACGUAGGCGGCUUUCUAAGUCGGGGGUGAAAUCCUGGAGCUCAACUCCAGAACUGCCUUCGAUACUGGAGAGCUCGAGUCCGGGAGAGGUGAGUGGAACUGCGAGUGUAGAGGUGAAAUUCGUAGAUAUUCGCAAGAACACCAGUGGCGAAAGGCGGCUCACUGGCCCGGUACUGACGCUGAGGUGCGAAAGCGUGGGGAGCAAACAGG
rnacentral:rRNA from 1 species